CCUACGGGAGGCUGCAGUGGGGAAUAUUGGACAAUGGGGGGAACCCUGAUCCAGCCAUGCCGCGCGUGUGAAGAAGGCCCUCGGGUUGUAAAGCACUUUCAGUGAGGAAGAACGCCUGGUGGUUAAUACCCAUCAGGAAAGACAUCACUCACAGAAGAAGCACCGGCUAACUCCGUGCCAGCAGCCGCGGUAAUACGGAGGGUGCGAGCGUUAAUCGGAAUUACUGGGCGUAAAGCGCGCGUAGGUGGCUUGAUAAGCCGGUUGUGAAAGCCCCGGGCUCAACCUGGGAACGGCAUCCGGAACUGUCAAGCUAGAGUGCAGGAGAGGAAGGUAGAAUUCCCGGUGUAGCGGUGAAAUGCGUAGAGAUCGGGAGGAAUACCAGUGGCGAAGGCGGCCUUCUGGACUGACACUGACACUGAGGUGCGAAAGCGUGGGUAGCAAACAGGAUUAGAUACCCUUGUAGUC
rnacentral:rRNA from 1 species